rnacentral:sRNA from 1 species
AUGGCAAGAGGUCGGUUAAUGCUACAUCUAGUUUCUACUAGUACUUCUGCUUCAGGUGGUCCUCCUUCUUCUGCUAAGAAAAGGAAGAAUAACUACGGCAAACCGCAGAACAAACCCAAUAACUCAGGAAAAAGCUCAGGUAAGCCUUCUGGUGGUUUUAAGGGUUCCAAGAAACCUGGGUCUAGUACCUAGGUUCUUGCCCCCUCGUACGUUAUUGACAGCUUCCCCAGGGGAAAAUUUACAACAAGUUCCUCAAAAAUCAAUACCAGUAGGGGGGAGGUUAAGUUUUUUCCUAAAUCAGUGGAAGAAAAUUACCUCAGACUGUUAUGUGCUGUCAAUAAUUCGAGGGGGAUUAACACUUCAGUUCAAGAACCCACCUCCUCUGUCUGCAGUUCCAAUAAGUUUGUCUCAUACUCAAGACCCAGUAAAGUGUCAACUUCUAUCAGUAGAAGUGGACACAAUGUUACAAAAAGCUGCAAUAGAGGAGGUGUCGAUCUUAACUCUGUCUCCGGGAUUUUAUUCCCGUCUUUUUCUGGUUCCAAAGAAGACUGGAGGAAUGAGGCCGGUCAUAGACCUAUCUAUUCUGAACAAAUUUCUUAUUGUUCCCCACUUCAAAAUGGAAACAAACAGAUCCAUCAGGGCUUCAAUCCUUCCAGGAAUGUGGACUACUUCUCUGGAUCUUUCAGACGCGUAUUUCCACAUUCCCAUUUCCCAAACUUACAGGAAAUACCUUCGCUUCGUUUGGAACAACAAAGUUUUCCAGUUCAAGGCUCUCCCUUUUGGCCUGUCUACAGCCCCUUUGGCUUUUACCAAAAUCAUGCAGGCAGCUAUAGCUCACCUACAUUCCCUGUCUAUUCAGAUUCAUUCCUACCUGGACGAUUCCCUUCUCAAGGAAUUUUGCCCAAUCAAAUUGAGGGUUCAGACAGAUUUGGUCAUCAAUUGUUUUCUGUCCCUAGGUUUCCUUAUCUCUUGGAAAAAGUCAGAGAUAAUUCCGUCUCAAGACUUUGUUUUCCUGGGAGAACAUUUCCUAACCAGUGUAGGCCUAGUCCUCCCACCAGAGGAGAAAUUUACAAAACUAUGUCAGAAAAUACAUUUAUUCCUGACGGUUCAAUCAGUCACAGCACGUCAAUUCUUGCAACUUCUGGGUCUAUUGAACUCUCUGGCAGAUGUAAUUCCAUUGGGACGACUUCACAUUCGUCCGCUUCAGUUUUAUCUGCACAAGUUAUGGAUUGCAGCUUCACAAGAAUGGGAAGCAUUGAUUCCAAUCACUCAGCCUUUAUUUCCACACCUUCAAUGGUGGUUAGUACGGGAAAAUGUAAUGAGGGGCCUAUGUCUGUUCCCUCAAGUUCCCAGUCUAACAUUAUUCACAGAUGCCUCCACCCUCGGUUGGGGAGCAUAUCUGGAGGGGCUUACAAUCUCGGGAGUCUGGAGUCCAGAUCUUUUGGAAGAGCAUAUCAAUGUAUUGGAAAUGAAAGCAGUUCUGUUUGCACUGAAUCAUUUCCAAAUGUCUCUAAAGAAUCAGUCUGUCAUUCUGGCCACGGACAACACAACAGUUGUAGCUUAUCUCAAGAAUCAGGGAGGAACUCAUUCACCUUCUCUUUAUCAGAUAGCCAGAGACAUUCUCCUUCUGUGUUUUCAACUCCAGGUUCAUCUAGUGGUGAGACAUAUUGCGGGGCACCUCAAUAUUCUAGCCGACACUCUAUCCAGAUCCCUUGCUCCAGUAAACACGGAGUGGGAACUACUUCAAGUAGUUUUCAAAGCUGUGACUCUUCAUUGGGGGUCACCUCAGAUAGAUCUGUUUGCGACCAGUCUCAAUCACAAACUUCUAACAUUUGUGUCUCCGGUUCCGGAUCCAAAAUCUUUUGCGGUAGACGCAAUGAGCCUAUCUUGGAAAGGAAUGUUCGGGUACGCCUUCCCUCCUUUCAGGUUUCUCUCCCCAGUACUUCAGAAAAUAGCAGGGGAAAAUUGCAAGAUCAUAGUUAUUGCUCCAGCAUGGCCAAAACAGUCUUGGUUUCCAGACCUUCUGCGCCUUUCAUGUGCUUGUCCUCUAGUUCUACCUCUGAGACCAGACCUUCUGUCUCAAAUCAAGGGCAAGGUUCUUUAUCAAAAUCCAGAAAAACUUCAUCUACACGCCUGGCUUCUCUCAGGGUUAGCCUCAGAAAGAGAGGUUUUUCUGAAGGAGCAACCAAGCAUCUCACAAAGUCUGUCAGAGACUCCACUAGCAUUGUCUAUGAUGCAAAAUGGUCAAUCUUCUCAGAUUGGUGUAGUGAGCGGGAAAUUGAUCCUUUCCAAGUCACUGUACAACAAUUAGCAGACUUUCUAGUUUUUUCUUUUUGAAUCCAAAGGAUUAUGUCCCUCUACUAUUAAGGGAUAUAGAUCAGCUAUCUCAAGAACUAUUCAUAUUUCUGGUGGCCCAGAUUUUGGAAUCAAUGAGCAUAUUUCUCUUUUGGUUCGUAGUUUUAGUCUUGAAAGACCAAGACAAAAAACUUUAGUUCCUAAGUGGGACCUUGGACUAGUUUUAUCCUUUUUAAAACUUCCUCCUUUUGAACCAGCAGAAACAAUAGAUUUAAGGUUUCUUUCCUAUAAAUGCUGUUUUCUUUUAGCUUUGGCUUCUGGACGGAGAAGGAGUGAAAUCCAUGCCUUCUCUAUUUCUGAUGCUUGCCUUCGAUUUAACAGGGAUAAAUCUUCUGUUACUCUUUUAACGGAUCCUGCUUUUUUGGCAAAGAAUCAGAUUCCAGAUAAGGGUGCAGAACCAGUUGUGAUUCCUGCACUCCCUAGCGAUUCUAUUUCUGUACUUUUAUGUCCAGUAAGAAUCCUUUCUAUUUAUCUGGAAAGAACGUGUAGUUUACGUUCUGUUUCUAACUCAAGACUCUUUAUUCCUAUUAAAAAAGGAAUCUCAGAUCUUUCUGUUAAAACUAUUUCUACUUGGAUAUGCAAAUGCAUAUCUUUAGCUUAUGGUUCUUCUAAGGCAGAACUUUUAAAUAGUUUUAAUGUUAAAGCUCAUGAUGUUAGGGGUAUCUCUACAUCCUGGGCUCUGUUUAACAGUGCAUCUUUAGAAGAGGUACUGUCUGCAGGUUUCUGGAGAAAUGAGAACUCUUUUAUAUCUCACUACCUCCAAUCUAUGGCUACUUUUGCCGAGAGUUUAUACUCUCUUGGACCUAUAGUUUCAGCACAAAGAUUGAACUUUCCUCCUGUUUCUUCUGUUACAGGGGAUUCAGCUUUACGUUAG